rnacentral:lncRNA from 1 species
AUUAGCCACGCGUGGUGGUGCACACCUGUGGUCCCAAUUACUGGGGAGACUGAGGCGGAAGAAUCGCUUGAGCCCAGGAGAUGGAGGUUGUCGUGAGCUAGGAUCUGCCACUGCACUCUAGCCUGGGUGACAGUAAGACCCUUGUCUCAAAAAAAAAAAAAAGAAAAACUGCAGAUUGGUGACUCUUACGAAGAUAGAUGGAAAUGUUCUAAAUAAAACACACUUAGGAUCUGGCAAUAUAUAUAUUUAAUGUACUAUUCUGACCAAAUGGAGCUUAAUCAGAUAGCUUGAGAAUGAUUUAAUGUUACGAAAUCUGUUAAUUGCAUUAUCUCAAUAAUAGAUCGGUGAAUAACUUUAUUAUUCUCUCAACAAAUCCUGUAUUUGAUUUACAAAAUGGAUGGGAGGUUUCAGGGAGAGCAGUUGGAAGCCUGUGUGCUCACCUGUUAGGAACGAGAGUGGCAACAGCAGUGGGGAGGAGUGCUCGGCUCCUGCACCUGUCUCGAUGGCAGAGCCCACAGGCUUGGCUGACAGACGUGGGAUGAAGGAAAGAGAAGCCUCUCACUCUUCCCACAGCAUUGUAGUGCGAUUUCAUGCAGAAGUCCAAGCAGGUUCCAGGACAAUUGUGUAAGAAGCUAUGGACAAGAACGUCUAAGAAAACGGAAAAUGACAUAGAGGAUUUGCACUGUAGCUAAGACUUCACGCAAGGCUGUGGCAGCUGAAAGCAUGUUCUGGUGCUGGGGCUGCGUGGCAGAGCCAGGAGCCCAGGAUCCAGCGCACUGGGCACCGACCUGGGACCUGGUCAUCUUUGCGUGUGGAAAAGAUGGCAUUUCCAGUUAUUGACAGGUGAAUGCUGGCCUUUUAGGGAAAAAAAAAUAUUAGAAUUCCAUACAGAAUAAAGAAUGAAGAUGAGAGGUUAAAGGUUUUUCUAAGGCAUGAAGAGCUGUGGGGGCAGCCUGCCCUUGUUCUUUUUGUCGUGUGUCCUUCACAUGCAGUAACUCUGUUCACGCCUCACAAAAACCCUAUGAGGUGGAGACCUGCCAUCAACCCUUCCUGCACGGGUGCCACUGAGGCCCCAAGGUUAAAUCAUUUCCCAGAGUGUAUCAGCAGAGGCACAGCCACAGAGACACGUCCGCACAGAGAGCUUUCCAGAUCACCAGUAACAGCGUGAGAUCAUGGUGCAGAAGGUCAUGAGGAGGAUGGCAACGAGCGAGACACAGCCGGUUGGUGCUCACAAGGACAUUGGUAGAUCUGACUGAGGGCCAGGUCGGCUAGGCCUUCCCAGGUGACAGGAGCCCAGUGCCGGCCUUGGUGCACACAGCGCGUCCUUGUGCUUUCUCAGGAGAGCUUCACUGGGGACACUCUGUGAUGUUUUUGGAGGGUCAUUUGGUAAUGUGUUCAGGAGCCAAAAAAUAUGCAUAAUAUUCAGUCUUACAAUUACAUUUUUUGAAUUUAUCUCAAGGAAAUCCCAGGGAUCUGUGUGAAGCUGCACAUGCUGCUGCUGCUCAGUGCGGGACUGUUUAUAAUAUUUGUAACUCAAAUGUCCAGAAGAACUGUACACUCUGUGCAUGUUUUCAGUAAGUUCAUAUUUGUAAGAAAAAGUGGGUGUGUUGAGAGACAAAUUUUUGUGUACAUUUACCUGGAAACAAGCAGUAGUACACAUAUGCAUGCAUGAAGUGGUGUUUUCCUGAGUGUUAAGAUUGUGAAUGUUUUAUUAUGAUCAUUUCUACUUUUUCUAUUGGAAAAUACUUUGUGUAAUUAAAACAUGAAGAUGGAGCUACCAUC